UACGAAGGGGGCUAGCGUUGUUCGGAAUUACUGGGCGUAAAGCGCACGUAGGCGGAUGUUUAAGUUAGGGGUGAAAUCCCAGGGCUCAACCCUGGAACUGCCUCUAAUACCGGGCAUCUAGAGUCCGAGAGAGGUGAGUGGAAUUCCGAGUGUAGAGGUGAAAUUCGUAGAUAUUCGGAGGAACACCGAUGGCGAAGGCAGGUCUCUGGGCCGAUACUGACGCUGAGGAGCGAAAGCGUGGGGAGCGAACAGG
rnacentral:rRNA from 1 species